rnacentral:lncRNA from 1 species
GAAUCUUUUAGAAGUGACUUUUAAAAUCAGAGGCAUAGAAAUGGAAAAAAGCUGCGCCCCCAUGAAAUUGGUCUUCAAGAAGAAAUGACUCGGAUGUGAUCCAUGGUGGUGGCAGGGAAUCACCUAAGUGCAAGCCAGGUUCCAAGUGACCAGUGGGAAAGACCUGAAGUGUGGCCACACCUCUUCCUUGCAUACUCCAGCCCAGAGACAUGUGGCCUGGGCAGAGGCGCUGUCUCUGGUCCAGCCCGGGGAAGGCAGAAGAACACUUUCUUUCAGUUUCUGGAAAAGAUGCUCUGGCCUCUAAUUCUUCACCUACCUGAAGUAGGAUCAGAAGAGAUCAGGAAGGAGAGAGAAAGAGCGAGGGACUCAGUUCAGAAGCCAGCAUAAGCCUCCGGUCUUCUCUGCUUUCCGGUUGGGUUCUCUUCUGGAUGGGUGUGUGGCAGAGCGGCAGGUGUAAGGCCUGGCUCGGUCUCAGCAUCACUUUCUUCAAAGUUCUCUUGGAUUUUUUUUUUUUUUUUGGCCUUUACCCUCAGAAAAUUAAAAUGUUCUCAUUAAAUCACGAUGAUCCAUCCACCCUUCCAUCUAGCCACUUGUCUAAUUAAUCACCUGCCUAUCUAUCCAUCUGCCCAGCUAUUAAACAGUUACUUAGCACUUACCCACUCAGAAAAUCACUCACCGUAUCAGGUGUUGGAGGAGACUGAAGGAUGACUCAG